CCCGUCCCAAUACCAAAUUUUGUUACAUGAAAGUCUCAGAUGUCAUUGCCCACAACUUGAAGGGCUUGUUUCGCCAAUUUAAAUAAUAAUUCUAACCCACUACCCAGCGAUGUGGGACCCAUCCUCUUUCUUCCCUUCCAGAGAAAAACACCAGAGCAAUUAACCUCACUUGUUUAAUCACCCGACCCGACCCGACCCGACGCGACGAAUGAAGAACGAACGAAAAUCCCUUUCUUCCUUAUAUCUUACAACCAAUCAUUCAAUCAAAAUCAUGAUUAAUUAGUUUUAAUUAUAAUAACCAGAAGCAAAAUGGCGUUCAGAAGCUGCAACCUAGGCUAGGGUUUGCUAAAUUACAUUACAGUGUGUUUUGUUGGUUUGCCUUAGGAAAAUUAUUGCAGGGCUUAACAUCCAACUUUUUUGGCCUCAUAUUAGAGUCAAGUCAGUCAACCCUUCAAUUACCCAACAUGCCUGUCCCUCCCAGAAUCGUGAGGUAUGUGUUUUUUGCAACUUGAAGCUGACAACCAUGUGUGGUAUUAAACCACCAGCAAUGGUGUUGUGUGCAUCCACGAGUGGUAGCAUUCAGUUUUAGUUCCCAGAAAUUGUCAUUAAGGAACAAUGAAGGAGAAUUAUGUUGAGAAUCUUUCCCAAUGGAGUAGUGACUCGCCAAGGAUGGAGUUGAAUGAGUUCUAAAGAUAAGCCUACCGGGACACAACCUUAAGAUAGGGUGGGUGUUAGCUAUGAUAUCUGAUCAGAUAGACUGGCUUUCUGAAUUAACAUCAGAUCUAGCUAUGUGAGUAUUUUGGUAAGUCUUGAUUACCUUAAUGACUUGGUUAAUAGACAAUAUAAUGCAAUUGGGAAUAAGCUGGUGUCAAAUUAGAAAAGCAGUGCAUAUAGAAUUUUGUAUUGGAGAAGCAUUUGAUUUGACAAAAAAAAAAGUCAAAAGUCAAUUUUGUUAGGAGAAGUGUAUAGCAGGUGAUAUGGUGUUGGAUUCGAUUCCCUAUUUGUAUAUGGUUGUUUAACAUUUUUAUGAACAGAUGAGUUAAUGACUAUUUCUGUUCAUUUCA